rnacentral:rRNA from 1 species
GACGAACGCGGCGGCGUGCCUAAUACAUGCAAGUAGAACGCUGACUACUUUAGCUUGCUAGAGUAGAAGGAGUUGCGAACGGGUGAGUAACGCGUAGGUAACCUGCCUACUAGCGGGGGAUAACUAUUGGAAACGAUAGCUAAUACCGCAUAACAGUGUUUAACACAUGUUAGAUGCUUGAAAGAUGCAAAUGCAUCACUAGUAGAUGGACCUGCGUUGUAUUAGCUAGUUGGUGGGGUAACGGCCUACCAAGGCGACGAUACAUAGCCGACCUGAGAGGGUGAUCGGCCACACUGGGACUGAGACACGGCCCAGACUCCUACGGGAGGCAGCAGUAGGGAAUCUUCGGCAAUGGGGGCAACCCUGACCGAGCAACGCCGCGUGAGUGAAGAAGGUUUUCGGAUCGUAAAGCUCUGUUGUAAGAGAAGAACGUGUGUGAGAGUGGAAAGUUCACACAGUGACGGUAACUUACCAGAAAGGGACGGCUAACUACGUGCCAGCAGCCGCGGUAAUACGUAGGUCCCGAGCGUUGUCCGGAUUUAUUGGGCGUAAAGCGAGCGCAGGCGGUUUAAUAAGUCUGAAGUUAAAGGCAGUGGCUUAACCAUUGUUCGCUUUGGAAACUGUUAAACUUGAGUGCAGAAGGGGAGAGUGGAAUUCCAUGUGUAGCGGUGAAAUGCGUAGAUAUAUGGAGGAACACCGGUGGCGAAAGCGGCUCUCUGGUCUGUAACUGACGCUGAGGCUCGAAAGCGUGGGGAGCAAACAGG